rnacentral:rRNA from 1 species
GAUGAACGCUAGCGGCAGGCUUAAUACAUGCAAGUCGAGGGGCAGCAUGGUGUAGCAAUACACUGAUGGCGACCGGCAAACGGGGUGCGGAACACGUACAGAACCUUCCUUCGAGCGGGGAAUAGCCCAGAGAAAUUUGGAUUAAUACCCCAUAGUAUUAUGGAGUGGCAUCACUUUGUAAUUAAAGAUUUAUCACUUGAAGAUGGCUGUGCGGCUGAUUAGGUAGUUGGCGGGGUAACGGCCCACCAAGCCUGCGAUCAGUAACUGGUGUGAGAGCACGACCAGUCACACGGGCACUGAGACACGGGCCCGACUCCUACGGGAGGCAGCAGUAAGGAAUAUUGGUCAAUGGACGAAAGUCUGAACCAGCCAUGCCGCGUGGAGGAUGAAAGGUCCUCUGGAUUGUAAAACUUCUUUUAUAUGGGACGAAAAAAAGGCCUUUCUAAGGUCGUCUGACGGUACCAUAUGAAUAAGCACCGGCUAAACUCCGU